GAUGAACGCUAGCGAUAGGCCUAACACAUGCAAGUCGAGGGGCAUCACAUGAAGUAGCAAUACGGAUGGUGGCGACCGGCGCACGGGUGAGUAACACGUAUGCAACCUGCCUUCAACAAGGGGAUAACCCGUUGAAAGACGGACUAAUACCCUAUAAUACAGGGGUCCCGCAUGGGGAUAUUUGUUAAAGGACAACCGGUUGAAGAUGGGCAUGCGUUCCAUUAGCUAGUUGGCGGGGUAACGGCCCACCAAGGCAACGAUGGAUAGGGGAACUGAGAGGUUUAUCCCCCACACUGGUACUGAGACACGGACCAGACUCCUACGGGAGGCAGCAGUGAGGAAUAUUGGUCAAUGGACGCAAGUCUGAACCAGCCACGUCGCGUGAAGGAAGACGGCCCUACGGGUUGUAAACUUCUUUUAUACGGGAAUAAAGUGCCCCACGCGUGGGGUUUUGCAUGUACCGUAUGAAUAAGGAUCGGCUAACUCCGUGCCAGCAGCCG
rnacentral:rRNA from 1 species